rnacentral:rRNA from 1 species
GAGAGCUUCCUCUCUGAUAGUGGCGAACGGGUGAGUAACACGUGAGCAUCUGCCCCUGACUCUGGGAUAACAGCUGGAAACAGCUGCUAAUACCGGAUACGAGUUGCGAAGGCAUCUUCAGCAGCUGGAAGAAUUUCGGUCAGGGAUGAGCUCGCGGCCUAUCAGCUUGUUGGUGAGGUAAUGGCUCACCAAGGCGUCGACGGGUAGCCGGCCUGAGAGGGUGACCGGCCACACUGGGACUGAGACACGGCCCAGACUCCUACGGGAGGCAGCAGUGGGGAAUAUUGCACAAUGGGCGAAAGCCUGAUGCAGCAACGCCGCGUGAGGGACGACGGCCUUUCGGGUUGUAAACCUCUUUUAGCAAGGAAGAAGCGAAAGUGACGGUACUUGCAGAAAAAGCGCCGCUAAC